AGGUUCAGUCAGAAGAAAAGACAAAAGAUUUUGGCCCGGCAAUGAGUUGUCAACUGAUCUGUGUUAGAGUAACUGGGUCAAAGAUGACACAGGAAAAGAGGCUAUGGAGACAGCAAGCAUGGGCUGUUCGUAAGUUUAGUGGUGAAGAGGAGAAAGAUGGGCAGAUGUACGGCUCAGUCAGAAUUUAAAAAAUGCUUGAAAAAGUUCCUGAUAUAUAAAGUGACAUACUGAUAAAUAUUAAGAAAAUAGACUAUAAAGGAAUUUAGCCUCUGAGCUACUCAGAGAUAACUUAUUUCCUUUGAAAAAUAUCAAAAUUGGAGUUGAAAUUUAGAAAAAACUGCAUGAUUUGCUGAUACGUAACAUUUAUACCAUUUUAUUAUAAAUUUAAGAUAUAUUGAUAUACUGAAAAAGAGGUCUCCAUUUCUUUUGGCUUUCCUCUCCCCACCCCCCAGCUGUUUAACAACAUUGCCUCUCCUAAGUCCAUAUUAAGCUGCAUGUUAGAUGUGAUAUUGGGUAGGUUUCUUGCCUUUAACACCUAAUUUUCAUCACCCAUAAAAAGGGGAUAACAAUAGUAAUCCUUCAUAGGAUUGUUGGGAGGGUUAAAAUGGAAGCAGAGAAUAAAUGUCUCCUCCCUGUAUCCCCCAUACAUCUCUUCUUUAACUCUGAAGACUUCACUUUUCUGUAGUGAAGAAGUAUCCAUCGUUUAAACAUGGCUCAUGCACUGAUUUCUCAUCUUGAGAAUGAGGGGACGUUUCAGUGCCAAAAUCUGAAGAGAGCUAUAGAAUCUAAAUUGAUAGUGAACAAUGUGUCUAAAGUGACUGCCUCAUCAGAAAGAAAGGAGUAAGAAUGAAGCACAAAUUAUUUCUCCAAAAAUAGGGUAUAGCUUUUAGGAUAUCUGCCCAACUUAGGUCCCAUUUUCUGAAUACUACUCUUUGCCACCUUCAGGGGCGAGCUGUUUAGAUGAUUGGACACGGAGUGGAUAUCUGGUCAAAUUUGAGCCAAGUAGAUGUUUUCUCCCAAGAAUUUGAAAUGGAAAACGAAUGUCUUGGGAAGUUGCAUUUGGAACCUACAUGUGAAGCAGAAGGAAUAAGACGAGAGACUGUACAAUUCCAGAAGAAAAAGAUGAAGAGAACAGCUGCCUUGAUUCCUGAUACUUUGUGCUUUUAUUCCAAUUUUUUAUGCCUGUUCAUUUCCUGCUCCUGGGUUCUCAUGAGGGGUAACUGCUGCUCUGAAUUUGAUGUUCACCAGAAUGAUACCAUGAAUGAUUUUAAAUGCUUACUGUAUGUGUGCAUAUAUAGGGUGGUUUUUAUGUUUUUGAAACUAUAUGAAAUGGUAUCUUACUGUACGUAAUCUUUGGGGACUUGUUUUUUUUCACUCAUGUUUUUGAGAUGUAUCUGUGUUACAUGUUUCUCUAAAUUACUCAUUUUUAAUGCUAUAUAGUUCAUUGAGUAUAUCACAGUUUAUCCAUUUUCUUGUUGAUGCACAUUUCAGUUAUUUCCAG
ensembl:lncRNA